rnacentral:miRNA from 1 species
UCCACUGUUGCGUUUUUCAUACGUACGUAUACGCACGUAAAACUUUAAAUCCGUUUAAAUGUUACUUGUGAAAUAACCAAAUAAAUGAAGCAACAGAAUUUAGUGUUCCGCAAGUUUUAGUACGCAUUUGUUAACUUAUUUUGUAAAAUAUUUAAAAAAUAGAAGGAUUCAAAGUUUUACGUGCGUGUAUACGUGCGUACGAAAAACGCAACAGUGGA